rnacentral:rRNA from 2 species
UGGGGAAUAUUGCACAAUGGGGGAAACCCUGAUGCAGCGACGCCGCGUGAAGGAAGAAGUAUCUCGGUAUGUAAACUUCUAUCAGCAGGGAAGAAAAUGACGGUACCUGACUAAGAAGCCCCGGCUAACUACGUGCCAGCAGCCGCGGUAAUACGUAGGGGGCAAGCGUUAUCCGGAUUUACUGGGUGUAAAGGGAGCGUAGACGGAGCAGCAAGUCUGAUGUGAAAGGCAGGGGCUCAACCCCUGGACUGCAUUGGAAACUGUUGAUCUUGAGUACCGGAGGGGUAAGCGGAAUUCCUAGUGUAGCGGUGAAAUGCGUAGAUAUUAGGAGGAACACCAGUGGCGAAGGCGGCUUACUGGACGGUAACUGACGUUGAGGCUCGAAAGCGUGGGGAGCAAACAGG